AAUCCAUCAUGUGGGCAUCUUUGUAUUAACAUUUUAAAACGCUUUCAAGCUUCGUGAAAGCUUUCUCCUUCUAGCUAUUUAAAUGUCAUGAGUUU
rnacentral:snoRNA from 1 species